rnacentral:rRNA from 1 species
GAUGGACCUGCGUUGUAUUAGCUAGUUAGGUGAGGUAACGGCUCACCAAGGCGACGAUACAUAGCCGACCUGAGAGGGUGAUCGGCCACACUGGGACUGAGACACGGCCCAGACUCCUACGGGAGGCAGCAUG